AGACCCGAAACCCGGUGAUCUAGCCAUGGGCAGGUUGAAGGUUGGGUAACACUAACUGGAGGACCGAACCGACUAAUGUUGAAAAAUUAGCGGAUGACCUGUGGCUGGGGGUGAAAGGCCAAUCAAACCGGGAGAUAGCUGGUUCUCCCCGAAAGCUAUUUAGGUAGCGCCUCGUGAAUUCAUCUCCGGGGGUAGAGCACUGUUUCGGCUAGGGGGCCAUCCCGGCUUACCAACCCGAUGCAAACUGCGAAUACCGGAGAAUGUUAUCACGGGAGACACACGGCGGGUGCUAACGUCCGUCGUGAAGAGGGAAACAACCCAGACCGCCAGCUAAGGUCCCAAAGUCAUGGUUAAGUGGGAAACGAUGUGGGAAGGCCCAGACAGCCAGGAUGUUGGCUUAGAAGCAGCCAUCAUUUAAAGAAAGCGUAAUAGCUCACUGGUCGAGUCGGCCUGCGCGGAAGAUGUAACGGGGCUAAACCAUGCACCGAAGCUGCGGCAGCGAACGUAUCACCCAAGACAACUUUGCGGAGUUGACGAUUGACGGAGCGAAGCGACGUCAAAGCGUUCAUUAAAGUCGAGUUGGCUUAGGGAUACGUUCGUUGGGUAGGGGAGCGUUCUGUAAGCCUGUGAAGGUGGCCUGUGAGGGUUGCUGGAGGUAUCAGAAGUGCGAAUGCUGACAUAAGUAACGAUAAAGCGGGUGAAAAGCCCGCUCGCCGGAAGACCAAGGGUUCCUGUCCAACGUUAAUCGGGGCAGGGUGAGUCGACCCCUAAGGCGAGGCCGAAAGGCGUAGUCGAUGGGAAACGGGUUAAUAUUCCCGUACUUGGUGUUACUGCGAAGGGGGGACGGAGAAGGCUAUGUUGGCCGGGCGACGGUUGUCCCGGUUUAAGCGUGUAGGUGUGUGUUCCAGGUAAAUCCGGUUCACUUUAACACUGAGGCGUGACGACGAGGCACUACGGUGCUGAAGCAACAAAUGCCCUGCUUCCAGGAAAAGCCUCUAAGCAUCAGGUAACAUCAAAUCGUACCCCAAACCGACACAGGUGGUCAGGUAGAGAAUACCAAGGCGCUUGAGAGAACUCGGGUGAAGGAACUAGGCAAAAUGGUGCCGUAA
rnacentral:rRNA from 3 species